GUGCCUUUUGUAGAAUGAACCGGCGAGUUACGAUUUGUUGCAAGGUUAAGCGGAAAAAGCGGAGCCGUAGCGAAAGCGAGUCUGAAUAGGGCGCAUAAGUAACAGGUCGUAGACCCGAAACCAGGUGAUCUACCCAUGUCCAGGAUGAAGGUAAGGUAAUACUUACUGGAGGUCCGAACCCACGCACGUUGAAAAGUGCGGGGAUGAGGUGUGGGUAGCGGAGAAAUUCCAAUCGAACUUGGAGAUAGCUGGUUCUCUCCGAAAUAGCUUUAGGGCUAGCCUCGAGGUAAAGAGUCAUGGAGGUAGAGCACUGUUUGGACUAGGGGCCCUUCUCGGGUUACCGAAUUCAGAUAAACUCCGAAUGCCAUGUACUUAUACUCGGGAGUCAGACUGCGAGUGAUAAGAUCCGUAGUCGAAAGGGAAACAGCCCAGACCACCAGUUAAGGUCCCCAAAUAUAUGUUAAGUGGAAAAGGAUGUGGGGUUGCUUAGACAACCAGGAUGUUGGCUUAGAAGCAGCCACCAUUGAAAGAGUGCGUAAUAGCUCACUGGUCGAGUGACCCCGCGCCGAAAAUGUACCGGGGCUAAACAUAUUACCGAAACUGUGGAUGAACCUCUUUAGAGGUUCGUGGUAGGAGAGCGUUCUAAGGGCGGUGAAGUCAGACCGGAAGGACUGGUGGAGCGCUUAGAAGUGAGAAUGCCGGUAUGAGUAGCGAAAGAAGGGUGAGAAUCCCUUCCACCGAAUAUCUAAGGUUUCCUGAGGAAGGCUCGUCCGCUC
rnacentral:rRNA from 1 species